rnacentral:lncRNA from 11 species
UUGCAAGCAAGGCCUACAGAAUGGCCGCACACAGUUCUGCAAGGCUGGCCACUUACCAGCCCUGUAAGUUGCACCCUUCAUUCACUCGCUUGUGCACCUGCCCUGUAGAACUACAGGACCUCACUCAACUGCCAGCUGAAUGAACCCCUGUAGCUGGAAAGAAGGCAAGAACCAGGUAGAGUGAAAUUUCACAUGCCCGUGUGCCCACCCCUUUCCUU